rnacentral:rRNA from 1 species
CACAUGUGUUUUUCUUUGAAACAAACUUGCUUUGGCGGUGGGCCCAGCCUGCCGCCAGAGGUCUAAACUUACAACCAAUUUUUUAUCAACUUGUCACACCAGAUUAUUACUAAUAGUCAAAACUUUCAACAACGGAUCUCUUGGUUCUCGCAUCGAUGAAGAACGCAGCGAAAUGCGAUACGUAAUAUGAAUUGCAGAUAUUCGUGAAUCAUCGAAUCUUUGAACGCACAUUGCGCCCUCUGGUAUUCCGGAGGGCAUGCCUGUUUGAGCGUCGUUUCUCCCUCAAACCGCUGGGUUUGGUGUUGAGCAAUACGACUUGGGUUUGCUUGAAAGACGGUAGUGGUAAGGCGGGAUCGCUUUGACAAUGGCUUAGGUCUAACCAAAAACAUUGCUUGCGGCGGUAACGUCCACCACGUAUAUCUUCAAACUUUGACCUCAAAUCAGGG